rnacentral:rRNA from 1 species
CCCAGUUCGGAUUGUAGUCUGCAACCCGACUACAUGAAGCUGGAAUCGCUAGUAAUCGCGAAUCAGAAUGUCGCGGUGAAUACGUUCCCGGGUCUUGUACACACCGCCCGUCACACCAUGGGAGUCGGAAAUGCCCGAAGUCAGUGACCCAACCGUAAGGAGGGAGCUGCCGAAGGUGGAGCCGGUAACUGGGGUGAAGUCGUAACAAGGUAAC